GACGGAAGGUGCAAGCGUUGCUCGGAAUCACUGGGCGUAAAGGGUGCGUAGGCGGCUUCUUAAGUCUGGUGUGAAAGCCCAGGGCUCAGCUCUGGAAGUGCACUAGAAACUGAGGAGCUUGAGUACCGGAGGGGAGAGUGGAAUUCCUGGUGUAGCGGUGAAAUGCGUAGAUAUUCGCAAGAACACCAGUGACGAAGGCGGCUAACUGGUCCGGUUCUGACGCUGAGGCGCGAAAGCGUGGGGAGCAAACAGG
rnacentral:rRNA from 1 species